rnacentral:rRNA from 1 species
UACCUACGGGGGGCAGCAGUGGGGAAUAUUGCACAAUGGGGGAAACCCUGAUGCAGCGACGCCGCGUGAAGGAAGAAGUAUUUCGGUAUGUAAACUUCUAUCCGCAGGGAAGAAAAUGACGGUACCUGACUAAGAAGCCCCGGCUAACUACGUGCCAGCAGCCGCGGUAAUACGUAGGGGGCAAGCGUUAUCCGGAUUUACUGGGUGUAAAGGGAGCGUAGGCGGUGCAGCAAGUCAGAAGUGAAAGCCCGGGGCUCAACUCCGGGACUGCUUUUGAAACUGUAUUUCUUGAGUGCUGGAGAGGG